UACGAGAGGCCCGAGCGUUGUCCGGAGUUACUGGGCGUAAAGGGUGCGUAGGAGGUUGUGUUAGUCGAUAUUUAAAUUCUUGGGCCUAACCCAAGAGCUGGUGUCGAAACGGCACAACUGGAGGGCGCGAGAGGCAGAUGGAACUCAUGGUGGAGGGGUGAAAUCCGUUGAUAUCAUGGGGUACACCAAAGGCGAAGGCAAUCUGCUGGCGCGUACCUGACUCUGAUGCACGAAAGCGUGGGGAUCAAACAGG
rnacentral:rRNA from 1 species